UACGUAGGGUGCAAGCGUUAAUCGGAAUUACUGGGCGUAAAGCGUGCGCAGGCGGUUUUGUAAGUCUGAUGUGAAAUCCCCGGGCUCAACCUGGGAAUUGCAUUGGAGACUGCAAGGCUAGAAUCUGGCAGAGGGGGGUAGAAUUCCACGUGUAGCAGUGAAAUGCGUAGAGAUGUGGAGGAACACCGAUGGCGAAGGCAGCCCCCUGGGUCAAGAUUGACGCUCACGCACGAAAGCGUGGGGAGCAAACAGG
rnacentral:rRNA from 1 species